GAUGAAGAACGUAGCGAAAUGCGAUAAGUAGUGUGAAUUGCAGAAUUCAGUGAAUCAUCGAAUCUUUGAACGCACAUUGCGCCCCUUGGUAUUCCAUGGGGCAUGCCUGUUCGAGCGUCAUUUGUACCUUCAAGCUCUGCUUGGUGUUGGGUGUUUGUCUCGCCUCUGCGCGUAGACUCGCCUCAAAACAAUUGGCAGCCGGCGUAUUGAUUUCGGAGCGCAGUACAUCUCGCGCUUUGCACUCAUAACGACGACGUCCAAAAGUACAUUUUUACACUCUCGACCUCGGAUCAGGUAGGGAUACCCGCUGAACUUAAGCAUAUCAAUAAGCGGAGGA
rnacentral:misc_RNA from 1 species